rnacentral:rRNA from 1 species
CCAGCAGCCGCGGUAAUACGGAGGGGGCUAGCGUUGUUCGGAAUUACUGGGCGUAAAGCGCACGUAGGCGGAUCAGUUAGUCGGGGGUGAAAUCCCGGGGCUCAACCCCGGAACUGCCUUCGAUACUGCUGGUCUGGAGGUCGAGAGAGGUGAGUGGAAUUCCGAGUGUAGAGGUGAAAUUCGUAGAUAUUCGGAGGAACACCAGUGGCGAAGGCGGCUCACUGGCUCGAUACUGACGCUGAGGUGCGAAAGCGUGGGGAGC